UACGAAGGGGGCUAGCGUUGUUCGGAAUCACUGGGCGUAAAGGGCGCGUAGGCGGCCGAUCAAGUCGGGGGUGAAAGCCUGUGGCUCAACCACAGAAUUGCCUUCGAUACUGGUUGGCUUGAGACCGGAAGAGGUAAGUGGAACUGCGAGUGUAGAGGUGAAAUUCGUAGAUAUUCGCAAGAACACCAGUGGCGAAGGCGGCUCACUGGCCCGGUACUGACGCUGAGGUGCGAAAGCGUGGGGAGCAAACAGG
rnacentral:rRNA from 1 species